rnacentral:rRNA from 1 species
UUUAUGGAGAGUUUGAUCCUGGCUCAGGACGAACGCUGGCGGCGUGCCUAAUACAUGCAAGUCGAGCGGAGUCUUACACUUUCUUCGGAAAGUGUUUGGCUUAGCGGCGGACGGGUGAGUAACACGUAGGUAACCUGCCCAUAAGACUGGGAUAACUCACGGAAACGUGAGCUAAUACCAGAUAGGCAUCUUCUUCGCAUGAAGGAGAUGAGAAAGACGGUUUCGGCUGUCACUUAUGGAUGGACCUGCGGCGCAUUAGCUAGUUGGUGAGGUAACGGCUCACCAAGGCGACGAUGCGUAGCCGACCUGAGAGGGUGAUCGGCCACACUGGGACUGAGACACGGCCCAGACUCCUACGG